GCGCGUGCGGUACCCAGGCCUGAGACGCAGUUUUCACCCCCGGACUGGGCAGAUGCUGGGGCGACGUGAGAAGCCUGGAGCAGAUCCAGGCCGGGGCUUCGGGUCGAGUGUCUGGGAGACCAAAGCUGGAGGAGGCGACCCCUGAGGAAAUCAUGCAGUUUGGGGUGGCCUUGUCCAGAAGACCUGGUGUCAGGGAAGACGUGUGACAGACCACAUCCCCCAGGUUGGAACGACUUGGCUGCAACUUCCUGCUUCGACCAUCACCAGCCUCCUUGUAACCUAGAAGACCAAACUCACACUGCCCCCACCUCCCUCGGGGUGGACUGUGCCAGUCCAGGUGCAUGCGCCCCGCCCCUCUGCUGUGUCCCAGUCCCUGUGUGUGGGCCCACCCCCGGUCCUGUCCCUCAGGGUCAAAAUCUAGGUAGAUAUCCUAGCUCUUUUUAAGUUUUAAGUCGUCUCUGCCUAUCGAGUCCCUCACCUCAGAACAAAAAUUAAAAGGCCAAGGUUGAGCCAGACAUUCAUGCGACAGCUGUGUGUGGCACAGGAACCCAGGAAAGGUAGGGGCGGUGUGGCCUGGGUAGGCACAGGGUCUGACUGCGAAGGACCAGACCGUGGUGGGAGCAGGCCUGAACCUUGCGCAGGCUCAGUUUCGCAGUCUGUCCAACGGCCGCAGUGGUCCCAGGUGGGCCCUGAGGGUGGCGAGGCGUCGCGUGGGGGCAGAAACGCUGGUAUGUGAGUGUCCGGCCCUGGAGAGUGACUAGAGGGAAAUAGCCGGAGCGGGCUCGCUGGGGCCCCCACCCGCAGGCUCACCGUCCUUGCCGCCUGAUUCUACUCCGUCUUUCCCGGAUUUUCUGUAAGAAGCCGGGCCCCCAUGUCUUAUUAAAAGCCCAUAUCACUUAAGGUCAGCAUUCAGAUGCUGCUUUAGGAGUUUAUGAGCAACGUUUCUUUAAUGUUAAAACAAACGAAGGUUCUGCAUGGUCUUAGCGUUUGUCAUUUUAUCUAUAAAAUACAUUUUUACCAGGAGGAAAA